GGCAGCAACAUUGCCUGGCCUUAGGGUUGCUGUGUAUGACUGGAGCAGGUACGGGACGUGCUGCAGACACAGGACCAGUCUCCUGCCCCGGAAAAUCGAUUAUUACCUGGGAGUUACGCUCUUGUGAAAGAUUGGAAUGAGGAACCACUUCGAGCCAGAUGGAAGGGCCCAUAUAGAGUACUUUUAACGACCCCGACAGCAGCAAAGCUCGAAGGAAUCAAGACUUGGAUACAUUCCAGUCACCUAAAGCCGGUGGCUGAACCAGAACAAGAAGAAACUCCUGCAAACUCUGGGACCGGAGGCAGAGAACAGUGGAAGGUGGAGCCAAUAAGAGACUUAAAAUUCCUAUUCAAAAGAAAGGAACUUUGAAUAAUUUGUCAAUCUUUGAUCAAGUUUUACAGGCCUUAUUAUGAAAUUUGUUCAAGGUUUUAGUGUGGGGCACCCUGAUCUGUCCACUCCUACUUAUAGGAGGGGAAAAUCUUUUACCACAAGAAUUUGACCCUCA